UGAGUUCCUGCAGCAUUUUGUGUGCGUUGGACGAAUUUACCAAGUAUUUUGUGUCAGUUUUCUUUUUUUUUUGUAAUUUUUUUAUUGAAGUUCAUCAUCAAACAAAUAUUUCCAUAAGAUGUAUUUCAGACAUUGUACAUAAAUAUCAUAUAAUCAUAUAUAUAUAUCAUAAAUCUCCACAAAGUAUUUAUCUGAGGUAUACACUUAUAGAAAAGAGUGGAAAGGAAAAUACAAGCAAAAGAAAAGAACUAUGUAUAAGUAGGGAGUGAUCUUUUUUUUUACAACAGUUUUCAUUGUGGAAGACACCAGCAGUAUGCCAGAAAUGUGAGAGUUCCAAGGGAGAGAAGUGAGUGCAUUUGCUGUUACUAUGGAGAAGGUGCUCGGGAAGCUGACAGGUCUGAAGGUAGAUCAGCCACCUGGAACUGAAGGACUACACCCCAGGGUUCUCAAAGCAAUAGCUGAAGAGAUUGUGAAGGCAUUAGUAAUGAUCUUUCAAGAAUCACUAGAUUCUGGAACGGUUUCUGAGGUCUGGAAAAUUGGAAAUGUCACUCAUUCUUUUAAGAAGAGUGGUAGAUCAAAGUGAGGGAAUCAUAGGCCAGUUAGCCUGACCUCAGUGGAUGGGGUCUUCCUUUUUUUUCUUUUCUCUCUCUGUCCUUCUCACAAUCACUCCUUGCCUGCUUUCCAUCUCCCUCUGGAACUCCCCUCCACCUUUCAUUCACCCUAGGCCCCCCACCCCAUGAUCCUCUCCCUUCUCCAGUUGUGUAUCCCUUUUGCCAAUCGCCUUUCCAGCUCUUAGCUUCAUCCUUCCCCCUCCUGUCUUCUCCUAUCAUUUCGGAUCUCCCCCUCCCCCUCCCACUUUCAAAUCUCGUACUAUCUCUUCUUUCAGUUAGUCCUGACAAAGUGUAACAUUGACUGUGCUUCUUCCUUUAGAUGUUGCCUGGCCUGCUGCAUUUUGUGUGUGUUGCUUGAAUUUCCAGCGUCUGCAGAUUUCCUUGUGUUUGCAUUUUUAGAUUGUACACUGCAUACAAUUAUAAAGAAAGUAUAUUUACAAAUUUCAGAUUUAUCAAACAGUUAGCAGGAAAAAGAACUGAAAAAAAUUGAAUGGGUCCAUUACAGUUAACCCAGUCCAAGUGUGUACUUAAAUCGGAGCUCACCUUGAAAUUGUCUUUAACUCACGCACUGGACCCAUUGCCUGCAUAAGAGCACACACCAGCUUCCAAAUGUCACUCGAAGUCCAUCUCAAACAUACGGGCUCCUCCACAGGAGUAUUGGUCCUCUUUCCUUGAAGCCGUUCAUUUGCAUAGAGAAUCUUCUACAACAGGGAUGGCAUCCUCAUCCAUCCUGACUCUGUCUUCUCCCUGCUCCCGCCAAAAAGACCUUGAGCCACACUAGUGUCCAUCGCAAAAACCUCUCCACCCAUCGUUCUCUGGAAACUUCUCCCAAUUCCACCAUCUUGAUUGGCCGACACAUCAUUCCUGAUGAACAACAUAGCCCCUUAUCUUUAGCACAAACCUAAACGUGCUCUUACAGAAUUGCUAAAAUGAAAUACCUGCAGUGUAGCAGUAAAAAUCUUAACCAGUGCAUUACAGGGAGAAGGCAGGAGAAUGGGGUUGAAGGGGAUAAUAAAUCAGCCAUGAUAGAAUGGUAGAUUCAAUGGACCGAAUGGCCUAAUUCUUCUCCUACGUCAUAUGGCUUUAUGGUCCAAUGUAGAGUUUUUUAGGAUUAUAAGGAGGAGUGUUCACGAGAAAACUGGCUGCUUGAAAUGAAGUGCAGACAGGAUAUCACCCUGUCACAUAGGGUCAGGCAAUGUCUGCUGAUCACUGAAGUAUCUACAAGAGACAUCCCCUCAAGGUGGAAACAUCAAUUGAACUUGCCCACCAACCAGGCCAUGUCAUCGUCUCACUAAUUCCAUCGGGCAGGGGUUACAGGAGCCUGAACUCCCACGUCAGCUGCUUCCCUUCAAUCUGUCGGCUCUUAAUCUACCCUGAUCGCAACCCUAAUUGCAACACUGUGACUCCUUCGACCAUUUUUCACGACAACGGCCUCUUUUCAUUCUAAUUGCAUUAUUUCUAAGUACAAUUUUGUGUAAUUUAUGUUUUUCCUGUGAACGUUGUGUAUGCCCAUGAUACUGGUGCCAGUAGUGCAGUGUAGUGUAGUGCAGUGGUCAGCACAACUCUUUACAGCACAGGCGACCUUGGUUCAAUUCCUGCUGCUGCCUGUAAGGAGUUUGAAUGUUCUCCUCGUGACUGUGUGGGUUUCCUCUAAGUGCUCUGGUUCCCUCCCAUAGUCCAAGGAUGUACUGGUUAGUAGGCUAAUCAGUCAUUGUAAGUUGCCCUGUGAUUAGGCUUGGAUUAAAUUGGGGAAUUGCUUGGUGCCGUGACUCAAAGGGCUGGAAGGGUCUAUUUUGCUUUGAAUCUCAAUAAUCAAGUAAUAUUAAUAAGAAAGUUUUUCAUUUCACCUGGGCAUACAUAAGACAUAAGAUCUUAAGACAUAGGAGGAGAAUUGGGCCAUUUGGCCCAUUGAGUCUGCUCCACCAUUCAAUCAUGGCUGAUCCUUUUUACCACCUCCUUAACCUCAUUCCUCGGCCUUCUCCCAUAACCAUAAGAUCAUAAGACCAUAAGAUGUAGGAGCAGAAUUAGGCCAUUCAGCCCAUCGAGUCUGCUCCGCCAUUCCAUCAUGGCUGAUUCCGGAUCCCACUCAAACCCAUACAUCUGCCUUCUCACCGUGUCCUUUGAUGCCCUGAAGGAUCAGGAAGUGAUCAACUUCCGCCUUAAAUGUACAUAUAGACUUGGUCUCCACCGCAGUCUGAGGCAGAGCAUUCCACAGAUUUACUACUCUCUGGCUAAACAAAUUCCUCCUUUCCUCUGUUCUAAAGGGUUGCCCUCAAUUCUGAGGCUGUGCCUUCUAGUUCUGGAUGCCCCCACCAGAGGAAACAUCCUCUUCAAAUCCACCCUAUCUAGUCCUUUCAACAUUCAGUAGGUUUCAAUGAGAUCCCCCAGCAUUUUUCUAUAUUCCAGUGAGUACAGGCCCAAAGCUGCCUAAAGCUCCUCAGAUGUUAACCCCUUCAUUCCCAGAAUCAUCCUCGUGAACCUCUUCUGGACUCUCUCCAAUGACAACAUAUCCUUUCUGAGAUUAUGGGGCCCUAAACUGUUGACAAUACUCCAAGUGCAGCCUGACUAGUGUCUUACAAUGGCUCGCAUUAUCUCUUUGCUUUUAUAUUCUAUUCCCCCUGAAAUAAAUGGCAACAUUACAUUUGCCAUCCUUACCACAGGCUCAACUUGUAAAUUAACCUCCCGGGAGUCUUGCACGAGGACUCCUAAGUCCCUCUGCACCUCUGACGUUUGAACGUUCUCCCCAUUUAGAUAAUAAUCCGUACAAUUGCUCCUUUUACCAAAAUGCGUUAUCAUACAUUUCCCAACACUGUAUUCCAUCCGCCACUUUUUUGCCCAUUCUUCUAAUUUGCUGCAAUUCCAUUGCUUCUUCAGCACUACCUAUCCCUCCAGUUAUCUUCGUAUCAUCUGAAUACUUUGCCACAAAGCCAUGAAUUACAUUAUCUAAAUCACUGACAAACAAUGUGAAAAGAAGUGGUCCCAAUACUGACCCCUGAGGAGCACCACUGGUCAGUGACAGCCAACCAGAAAAGGCCCCUUUAUUCCCACUCGCUGCCUCCUGCCUGUCAGCCAUUCCUCUAUGCACGCCAGUAUCUUUCCUGUUACACCAUAGGAUUUUAUCUUGUUGAACAGCUUCAUGUGUGGCACCUUAUCAAGCGCCUUCUUAAAAUCCAAGUAAAUUACAUCUACUGCCUCCGCUUUGUCCACCCUGGUUGUUACUUCCUCUAAGAACUCUAAUAGGUUUGUCAGGCAAGAUUUCCCUUUACAGAAACCAUGCCAACUUUGACAUUUUAUCAUGAGUCUCCAAGCACCUCGAAACCUCAUCCUUAAUAACAGACUCCAAGACUUUCCCAGUCUCUGAGGUUUGGCUAACUGGUCUAUAAUUUCCUUUCUUUUGCCUUCCUGCCUUCUGAAAGAGUGGAGUGACAGUUUCGAUCUUCCAGUCCUCUGAGACCAUGCCAGAAUCAAGUGAAUCUUGAAAGAUCAUGAUCAAUGCAUCCAUUACCUCUUCAGCCACCUCUCUCAGGACUCUGGGAUGUAGUCCAUCUGGUCCAGGUGACUUAUCCACCUUAGGACCUUUGAGUUUGCCUAGCGAAUUCCUUUGUAAUAGCAAUGGCAUUCACUUCUGCUCACUGACACUUACGGACCUCUGGCACACUGCUAGUGCAUUCCAUAGUUAGGACUGAUGCUAAGUACCCAUUAAUUUCAUUGGCCAUUUCAUUGUCCCCCAUCAUUUUCUAGUGAUCCGAUAUUAACUCUUAUCUCCCUUUUAUUCUUUAUAUAACUGAAAUAAUGAAAUGAUCUUUGAUGCUGUGACCAAUCAAGAGCCUAUCAAUCUUUGCCUUCAAAACAUCCAACAACUGGCCUCCACAGCUGCCUGUGGUAGAAAAUUCCACAAAUGCACUGCCCUUUGGCUAAAGAAAUUUCUUCGCAUCUCUGUUUUAAAUAGACGCCCUUUUAUCCUGAGGUUGUGCCCCCUUGUCCUAGACUCCCCUACCAUGGGAAACAUUCUAUCUACAUUUACUCUGUCUAGUCUUUUCAACAUUUGAGAGGUUUCAAUGAGAUCCCCCUCAUCCUUCUAAAUAAUGAAUACAGAUCCAGGGCCAUUAAACAUUCCUCGUAUGAUAACCCUUUCAUUUCUGGAAUCAACCUUGUGAACCACCUCUGGACCCUCUCCAAUGCCAGAACAUCUUUUCUUAGAUGAGGAGCCCAAAACUUUUCACAAUACUCAAGCUGAGGCCUCACCAGGGCCUUAUAAAGCCUCAGCAUCACAUCCCUGCUCUUGUAUUCAAGUCUUCUUGAAAUGAAUGCUAACAUUGCAUUUGCCUUCCUCACCACCAACUCAACCUGAAAGUUAACCUAUAGAGUGUUUUUCUCAAGGACUCCUAAGUUGCUUUGCAUCUAAGAUUUUUGGAUUUUAUUCUGAUUUGGAAAAAAGUCUGCACAUUUAUUUCUACUUCCAGAGUGCAUGGCCAUGCAUUUUCCAACAUUGUAUUUCAUUUGCCACUUUCUUGCCCAUUCUCCUAACCUGUCUAAGUCCUUCUGCAGCUUACCCAUUUACUCAACACUACCUGUCCCUCCACCAAUCUUUGUAUCACCUGAAAACGUGGCAAUGGAGCCAUCUACUCCAUUAUCUAAAUCGUUGAUAUACAGCACAAAAAGAAGUAGUUCCAACAACAACUCCUGCGGAACACCUCUAGUCACUGGCAGCCAACCAGACAAGGAUUCUUUUAUUCCCACUUGCUGCCUCUCACCAAUCAGCCAAUGUUCUGACCAUGUUAGUAGCUUUCCUGUAAUACUGUUUAUUCUUAACUUGGUAAGCAGCCCCAUGUGUGGCACCUUGUCAAAGGCCUUCUGAAAGUCCAAGUAUACAACAUCCACUGCAUGCUGUUUAUCUACCCUACUUGAAAUCUCCUCAAUGAAUUCCAACAGGUUCAUCAGGCAAGAUUUUCCCUUAAGGAAACAAUGCUGACUUUGUCCUAACUUGUCUUGUGUCACCAAGUACUCCAUAACCUUACCCUUAACAGUGGACUCCAACAUCUUUCCAAUCACUGAGGUCAGGCUAACUGGUCUAUAAUAUAAUUUUCUUUCUGCUGCUUUCCUCCUUUCUCAAAGAGUGGAGUGACAUUUGCAAUUUUCCAGUCCUCUGACACCAUGUCUGGGUCCAAUGAGUUUUGAAAGAUCAUUGCUAGCCCUUCACAAUCACUAACAUUACCUCUUUUAGAACCCCAAGGUGCAGUUCAUCUGCUCCAAUAACUUAUGGACCCUUAGGUCUUUCAGUUUUUUGAGCACUUUCUCCCUUGAAAUUGCAACUGCUCUUACUUCUCUUCCUUCACACACUCUACGUCUGGCACUCUGCUAGUGUCCAACAGUGAAGACUGAUGCAAAAUACUCAUUUAGUUCCUCUGCUAUCUCAUUGUCCCCUGUUAUUAUGUCUCUGGCCUCAUUUUCUAGCGGUCCUAUAUUCAUUCUCAUUUCUCUUUCAUUUUUUACAUAGGUGAAAAGUCUCUUACUCUCCACUUUUAUAUUGUUUGCUAGCAUGCUUUCCAUCUUUUCCCUGAUUCUUUUAGUUGCUCUCUGUUGGUUUUUAAAAGUUUCCCAAUCCUCUAGCUUCUCUCUAGUUUUUGCUUUGUUGUAUGCCCUCUCUUUUGUUUUUACAUUAGCUUUGACUUCCCUUGUCAGCCAUAGUCAUACUAUUUUGCUAUUUAAGUAUUUCUUUGGAAUAUACCUAUCCUGCACCUUCCUCAUUCUCCCCAGAAACUCACACCAUUGCUGCUCCACUGUCAUCCCCGUCAGCAGCUCCUUCCAAUUUACUUUGGCCAACUCCUCUCUCAUACCUCUGUAAUUUCCUUUACUCCACUGAAAUACUGCUGCAUCAGACUCCGCUUUCUCCCUGUCAAAUUUCAAGUUGAACUCAAUCAUUUUGUGCUCACUGGCUCCUCGGGGCUCCCUAGUGUGUGUGUGUGUGUGUGUGUGUGUGUGUGUGUGUGUGUGUGUGUGUGUGUGUGUGUGUGUGUGUGUGUGUGUGUGUGUGUGUGUGUGUGUGUGUGUGUGUGUGUGUGUGUGUGUGUGUGUGUGUGUGUGUGUGUGUGUGAGAGAGAGAGAGAGAGGGAGAGAGAGAGAGUCCAAAUAUUUCAAUUAGAGGGCCAUUAAAUGACAGCAGUAUUCAAUUCAUACUUGCAUGGUAUUUGUAAAUACGACAAACUAUGUAAUACUUCUUCGUAGGCACUUACAAGGAGGUUCUCUCCGAUAUCUAGUGGGAAAAUGGAAGAAACAAAUUUUGAAUUAAUCUAGGGAAGGGGUGGAGGGAACAAACAGAACAUGUAGGACUGUCAUGAACACUUUGGGCUUCUGCAUCUGGCCUUAGAGCUUCCAGGUUUCUCAAGCAGCCAUAUUGAAUAAUUGUUAUCUUAACUAGAGCCAUUAAACCGUGGUGCAUUCUGUUUCACCUUGUUAAGUUAACUGUGACUGGCAUGGGGUUCCCACAUUCUAUGACUAUUUAAAGGGGACUUGUGUUUGUAGAGAAUGAUUUGGCCUGUGUGUCUUUUGGUUGUGCCUCUGAUGUCCUGUUGGUAUUUCCAUGUCUAACCUCUUGUUUGCGUCUCUUCAAGGGGAGUCCAGUCCUGUGAGUAACAACUGUGAUACUGAUAGGUUCAGGCCAAAGAUUUCAAGAGAUACAACACAGAAUAUCCUCUUCUCGCUCUUUGAGCUGUGCCAUGUGGAAACCCCAGACGAUCCCCGAUUUAACCGUAAUGUAAUCUUGGUGGUGCUGAGGCUGUGGGACUGGUCUUGACUGCUCCAGGCUUCAUAUUGAGAUAUAGCAUGGAGCAGACCCUUCCAAACCAAGGAGCUGCACUAUCUAGAAACCCACCUAUUUAACAUGAGCCGAAUCACAGGAGAAUUUACAAUGAGCAACUAACCUACUAACUGGCAAACACGAGGAAAUCUGCAGACGCUGGAAAUUCAAGCAACACACACAAAAUGCUGGUGGAACACAGCAGGCCAGGCAGCAUCUAUAGGGAGAAGCACUGUUGACGUUUCGGGCCAAGACCCUUCGUCAGGACUAACUGAAAGGAAAGAUAGUAAGAGAUAGUAACUGGUAUGUCUUUGGACUGCGGGAGUAAACCAGAGCGCCUGGAGGAAACUGACACUGGAAGUGCAUGCAAGCUCCUUACAGACAGCGCCAGAGCUGAAGUCCAGACUCCAACACCCUGAGCUGCAAUAAUGUUGUGCUGAUCACUGCAUUACCAUGGCAUCAGAUGUUGUCAGAACUCCGGUGAAAGUACCAGGAGCAAUUCCUGGAAAUUUAUUUCCUGGAAGAUAAGAAGUUAAAAGUUGAUUUCAGUUUUUAGGGUUAGAUGAAUGAAAAAAACAAAUAGAUGAAGAAAAUCAUUUUCUGCUGGUGCAGCAGUUUAAAAUAAACUCUUUUUGCUGUUGGCUUCAAAGAGAUAAAAUUUCUUUUUGGUUUCUAUCCUCUAUAACUUAUACC